rnacentral:sRNA from 1 species
AGUCAUAUCUUGGAAAGUAUUUUUCGAAUCAAUUAUAUGAUAAGGCUUACUACGGAGCUAAUCUUCGAAACGCUUUGACUUGUAAAGAAUUUUGAUGGAUCCCUCGCAUUUGCGGUAAUUACAAGGUGGGUCUAUUCACAAUGCUGACUUCAUAAAGCAUAUACCUUUAAAAUGAUGAAAAAGGAAAUAUGAACAUGUGAUAUGAUACACAAAUACCGCAACAACACAAUCCUCAAAAAUAGGUCCUACUGAACUGUAUUUUCAAAUUGAAUUAUCUAAAUCAAUCAACUUUGAAUUAACUGUUUAAU